AAGCAAGUCUGAAAACUAGUGCUAAUUGGGGACCGUAUGAGCAAGAUACUCGGGACAGAUACCGUAUGAAACCGUAUAUUUACCCAUCCACAUGGUGGCAAAAAUUCAAAGAAAAUAUCACAGGAAGAAAUGACGAUUUUUCAUUGUGAGAAUGACAAUAUACGUGACUUUAUCUAGACAAGAAGACACGAAAUGGCAGAAAUCUGCCACUAUAUUUAUUUGAUAUCAAGUGUUGCUUCAAGCGUUUGCACCAUAUGACCUUCCACUAAAAUAAAUCAUUGGAUCUAAACAUAUCAAUUUAAGCCUCGUUAACUCGUCUGAUUAAAGUAUAAGUCGCUUAGGCGCCGUUGUCGCUGUCGCCGUGCAAAUAAUUUAAUGUAGCCCAUCUCUCAACAAUUUUAAAGGUAUUAAUAUGAAACUUGGAAUGCUUGCUUAAAGGUAUCAAUAUGAAACUUGGAAUCCUUGCUUAAAGGUAUCAAUAUGAAACUUGGAAUGCUUGCAUAAAGGUAUCAAUAUGAAACUUGGAAUGCUUGCUUAAAGGUAUAAAUAAAUUUUGUAUGGAAUGUAAUAGUUGUUAUUAACUUGCUUCUUGUUUACAAGUACAAUUGAGUGUUUUCAUCGCAAUGCAUUAUAAGAACUAGAGUUGUCACAGGAGUGACAAAUUUAUACCACAACCUGAUCUCUAUAAAACAAGAUAUAAACUGGUAUUUUGUUCUUUAAAGAUGACCUUGAGUCUGCACAGUGGGUUCUGUAUAUAACCUUGUUGAGGUGCAAAUUUAAGCCAAGUUUUAAAUAAUUUCCUCGAUGGUUACCGGAUUUUCAAAUUUACACUUCAUCAGGCAUUUGACAUUCAAGGAUUACCUUGACCCUGAGCUAACGCAGCAGGUGAAUGAGUUCUGCAGAUUAUUAUUUCACAAACAACUUUUUCAAAUUUCAUCGUUUAUUUAAAAAAAAUAGCAGCGCCAUCUUAUACUAUACGCUAUUCUUAACAUCGAAUUGAAUUGCUGCUGAUGAUGAUACUGUGUCUGUCGUUAUUGUGCCCUUUGUUUUAUGUAUCAGAGAGUCACUAGACGAACUGUUUGAGGCUGCUGAUUCAGAGUAUGUUGCUAUUUCACUUGCUAAAAUGAUUGCUGUUAAAAUUCAAACAUAAAAGGCUUUCGUCUUUUUCAGUUAUCGUUGGUGCUCUGAAUACUUUUUCUUGUAACUGCAUUCCAUGCCCCUUUUUAUCAUGAAAUAAGCCCCCCAAAAAAUCCGGAAGAUGAUAAUGUUUUAUUUCGUUAGAAAUGAAAUUAUCUCUUUAAUUAUAUGAAAAUGCAGCAAAUGUUCGUUUGUUAAUAUACCAAAAUCAGUGAUUUUUAUAGCAUUUAUUUCUACUCUUACUUCUGAAAAGAAUGAGCAUUUCAUUUCCCAAUAUGCCUA